AUUGAACGCUGGCGGCAGGCCUAACACAUGCAAGUCGAACGAGUGGCGGACGGGUGAGUAAUGUCUGGGAAACUGCCUGAUGGCGGGGGAUAACUACUGGACACGGUAGCUAAUACCGCAUACCAUCAGAUGUGCCCAGAUGGGAUUAGCUAGUUGGUGGGGUAACGGCUCACCAAGGCGACGAUCCCUAGCUGGUCUGAGAGUAUGACAGGCAAAACUGGAACUGAGACACGGUCCAGACUACGACGGGAGGCAGUAGUGGGGAAGAGUGCACAAGGGGCGAAAGCCGGAUGAAGCCAUGCCGCGUGUAUGAAGAAGGCCUUCGGGUUGUAAAGUACUUUCAGCGGGGAGGCGUUACCCGCAGAAGAAGCACCGGCUAACUCCGUGCCAGCAGCCGCGGUAAUUC
rnacentral:rRNA from 1 species